AGAUUAAGCCAUGCAUGUCUAAGUAUAAGCACUUAUACCGUGAAACUGCGAAUGGCUCAUUAAAUCAGUUAUCGUUUAUUUGAUAGUACCUUACUACUUGGAUAACCGUGGUAAUUCUAGAGCUAAUACAUGCUGAAAACCCCGACUUCGGAAGGGGUGUAUUUAUUAGAUAAAAAACCAAUGCCCUUCGGGGCUUCUUGGUGAAUCAUAAUAACUUCUCAGAUCGCAUGGCCUUGCGCCGGCGACGGUUCAUUCAAAUUUCUGCCCUAUCAACUUUCGAUGGUAAGGUAUUGGCUUACCAUGGUUUCAACGGGUAACGGGGAAUUAGGGUUCGAUUCCGGAGAGGGAGCCUGAGAAACGGCUACCACAUCCAAGGAAGGCAGCAGGCGCGCAAAUUACCCAAUCCCGACACGGGGAGGUAGUGACAAUAAAUACUGAUACAGGGCUCUUUUGGGUCUUGUAAUUGGAAUGAGUACAAUUUAAACCUCUUAACGAGGAACAAUUGGAGGGCAAGUCUGGUGCCAGCAGCCGCGGUAAUUCCAGCUCCAAUAGCGUAUAUUAAAGUUGUUGCAGUUAAAAAGCUCGUAGUUGAACCUUUGGCCUGGCUGGCAGGUCCGCCUCACCGCGUGUACUUGUCCGGCCGGGCCUUUUCUUCUGGAGAACCGCAUGCCCUUCACUGGGUGUGUUGGGGACCAGGACUUUUACUUUGAAAAAAUUAGAGUGUUCAAAGCAGGCCUUUGCUCGAAUACGUUAGCAUGGAAUAAUAGAAUAGGACGUGCGGUCCUAUUUUGUUGGUUUCUAGGACCGCCGUAAUGAUUAAUAGGGACAGUCGGGGGCAUCAGUAUUCAAUUGUCAGAGGUGAAAUUCUUGGAUUUAUUGAAGACUAACUACUGCGAAAGCAUUUGCCAAGGAUGUUUUCAUUAAUCAGUGAACGAAAGUUAGGGGAUCGAAGACGAUCAGAUACCGUCGUAGUCUUAACCAUAAACUAUGCCGACUAGGGAUCGGGCGGUGUUUCUAUUUUGACUCGCUCGGCACCUUACGAGAAAUCAAAGUGUUUGGGUUCUGGGGGGAAUAUGGUCGCAAGGCUGAAACUUAAAGAAAUUU
rnacentral:rRNA from 1 species